UGCUAGCUUUCUAUGUCCCA
rnacentral:piRNA from 1 species